rnacentral:rRNA from 1 species
GAUGAACGCUGGCGGCGUGCCUAAUACAUGCAAGUCGAGCGAACAGAUGAGGAGCUUGCUCCUCUGACGUUAGCGGCGGACGGGUGAGUAACACGUGGAUAACCUACCUAUAAGACUGGGAUAACUUCGGGAAACCGGAGCUAAUACCGGAUAAUAUAUUGAACCGCAUGGUUCAAUAGUGAAAGACGGUUUUGCUGUCACUUAUAGAUGGAUCCGCGCCGCAUUAGCUAGUUGGUAAGGUAACGGCUUACCAAGGCAACGAUGCGUAGCCGACCUGAGAGGGUGAUCGGCCACACUGGAACUGAGACACGGUCCAGACUCCUACGGGAGGCAGCAGUAAGGAAUCUUCCGCAAUGGGCGGAAGCCUGACGGAACAACGCCGCGUGAGUGAUGAAGGUCUUCGGAUCGUAAAACUCUGUUAUUAGGGAAAAACAAAUGUGUAAGUAACUAUGCACGUCUUGACGGUACCUUAUCAAAAAGCCACGGCUAACUACGUG